rnacentral:piRNA from 1 species
UUCCAGGCCAUAAGCAGCACGAAGGAC